rnacentral:pre_miRNA from 1 species
UUAACUCAACUUUGUAUGGAGUUGGAACGUUUGCCGCCAGGGGCGCUGUUCCAACUGCAUACAAAUUUAAGUUA